rnacentral:rRNA from 1 species
UACGUAGGGGGCAAGCGUUGUCCGGAUUUAUUGGGCGUAAAGAGCGUGUAGGCGGCUUUGCAAGUCCGUUGUGAAAACUCGAGGCUCAACCUCGAGACGCCGGUGGAAACUGCAAAGCUAGAGUCCGGAAGAGGAGAGUGGAAUUCCUGGUGUAUCGGUGAAAUGCGCAGAUAUCAGGAGGAACACCAAUGGCGAAGGCAGCACUCUGGGACGUGACUGACGCUGAGACGCGAAAGCGUGGGGAGCAAACAGG